AGCGGCCUCGGCGUCCAGCGUGCGGUCGGAUGGGAGGUGGAGGCGGAGCUCGAUUUGGAGGCUGCGGAGCUCGAUUCGGCAGCGGCGGAGCUCGAUUUGGAGGCGGCGGAGGUCGAUUUGGAUGCGGUUGAGGUCGAUCCGGUAGCGGCCUCGCCAACUGGCCGAAUCCCGCCGCCGCGCAGCCGGCCGAGGCAAGGCCCUUCGCGGGCGGACCACCCCUACGUUUCUCCAGCACCCACGCCACCAACGCCCGCCGCCGCCGCUGUCUGCCCAACGCCCGCCGCCACCUGUCUCCAGAAGCACCCGCGGCCCGGAGAAUGCCCGCCAACCGCCGCCGUGUGGGUCGCUCCUUGCCUCAUGGGUUGGUCUGGAGGUCCAACGACGGGGAGGCCCAUCGCGGAACGAGGCGGGGACAUGCCCGCCUGAGCGCGGGGGACGGGUGCGUCCGUUUCUGAUGUCGUGGAUGAACUGAGUGCCGGCGUGGUGGUGGACUGGGGCACUGCGCCAAGUGCGAGGAGCGCCUUGGAAGAAGCACACCAUGAUGGGUUCACCACGACACCAUUUCUCCAUGCUCCAGUAGAAGUUUGGACUCAUGGCGGAGCUGUGCGGCUAGAUGAUUGGAUCUGAUUGAUGCAGUUGAGUCCAGGUAUUGCAUCCCAUUGCUGAUUCUAUCACUAUCAACAAAACGAUCCGGAUCCUGUGCUUUUUGUGACACAUCAUGCUUGCAGGUACAACUUAUGUACAGCUUAUGCAUAUACAAUUUAGAUGUAUCUUUAUGUUUAGUUCUGAGAUGAACCACUUCUUCUUGGUAUGUAGUGAGAAUGAGCGAGGUAGCACAUGUUUUAUAUCAGUUCAUACAACACAGUGCAAUGUAUUUUCUAGAUAUGCAUAAAUAAGGUGUCACCCAUAGUGUUAGCAUGGGCAAGCUACUAUCAACAUAUAAUAACUACAUGUUACAUCUUUUGUGUGAAACAUAUAUUUUUCAUUUUGAACUA